GGUAGACAGAGGCUUCUCUGAAAUUGGACGUUCAUGGGGAAGGAGGACCAAGGUCAGCUUUGGAGCUGUAGACCAAUCUGGGUUGGAAUGCGAGCUCUUUUCCUUCUAAGGCAGAAGCUGAAAUAGAAAAAAAAAAAAAAUUAAGGCGAACACGACGUUGCCGCUCUAAGUGGAGAAGCCGUCUUGCUGGUCAUGAACUGAAGUCACUGGUGAGAAUAAUCACAACCCAAAGCCAAUGGGGUGUUAAAUCCUGGCUGGGAAGGACCUGGGCACAGAGGCGGCUCUCCUUGUGAGAGAAGAAAAAGCAUCAGGGAAGCAUUCGGACCAAUGCCAAAUCAAGACUUGCUCCCUGGUAGGACCAGGAGGGCAUAAAGGGUUAACUUGGGAAUCAUUUCCAUCCUCCGUGAUUCAUUUAAUGCCUCGAGUAAUUCAGAAAGUGAUGCUGGGGGGUCCCCACCCCAUCUCCGUGAGGUUCACACACCAGGACAGGGCGCCUGGGUGAUCCUGUUGGUCCCUCCUGCUGAGGCUCUCAGGAAUCUAGAAGGGCCGGCAGGGCUGGGACAUCGCAGCUGAAUGGGAAGGAAGACAAAAAGAGACAGAGCAUGAGCAGGGGAGGAGCAGAGAGAGA